CUUCACAAUCUAUAAAACGGGGAAGUUUUGCUACACAAAAAGCAACAAAGAAAAGAAGAAGAAGCAAAAAAAUUAAAAAUUAAAAAAAAAUCAUGAAGGCUGCAGGCUCAUUGGGUGUGGUUGUAUGCUUGUUCUUGGUGGUGGUUGGUGUUUUGGUUGAGGUGGUUCCAAUGGCAGAAGGGGACACCACGCCCAGCCAAUGCAAGCAGGAGAAGGACCUUCUUGUGAGUGCGCAUGCAAGAGCGCAGUGAUCAAUAAUAUAAUCGGGCGCAGCCCCUCUCCAUACUGCUGCCAACUUGUCAGGGUGACACAUGUCGAGUGUGUGUGCCCUUAUGUCACUCCCAAACUGGCCAAUUUGAUCCCUCUCCGCCGUACGAUUAAGCAGAUUGAAGGCUGUGGAAGAAGCGUCCCUCGCAACUUCAAGUGUGGCAGUAUCACCACUCCACCAUAAGAUAAGAAGACGAAUAUUCUAGCUAGCUACAAGAAUAUAUUAUUAUGCUUGAUUAUCAAAUAAAGAAUAAUCUAAUUAGCUUUCUUUCAAGCUAUGAGUUACAUAAAUUUGAAGUGCACAAUCAUGUGCACUAAUUAUGUAUUGGAGAAUGGAGGGAAGGGGACAAAGAUGUAUGACUUUCCUCAAAUCAAAGUGAAUUAUAAGAUGUCUCUCCUAUAUAUUCCGAUAUUA